rnacentral:rRNA from 1 species
UACGUAGGAGGCGAGCGUUGUCCGGAGUUACUGGGCGUAAAGGGUGCGCAGGCGGCCGCCCGCGUGCGGGGUGAAAUCUCCCGGCUCAACCGGGGAGGGGGCCGCGCAGACGGGGCGGCUUGAGGCGCGGAGAGGGGCGUGGAAUUCCGGGUGGAGCGGUGAAAUGCGUAGAGAUCCGGAAGAACACCGACGGCGUAGGCAGCGCCCUGGCCGCGUCCUGACGCUCGGGCACGAAAGCUGGGGGAGCGAACAGG